AUUGAACGCUGGCGGAAUGCUUUACACAUGCAAGUCGAACGGUAGAGGGGGCAACCCCUUGAGAGUGGCGAACGGGUGAGUAAUAUAUCGGAACGUGCCCAGUCGUGGGGAUAACGUAGCGAAAGUUACGCUAAUACCGCAUACGAUCUACGGAUGAAAGCGGGGGACUCGCAAGAGCCUCGCGCGAUUGGAGCGGCCGAUAUCAGAUUAGGUAGUUGGUGGGGUAAAGGCUCACCAAGCCAACGAUCUGUAGCUGGUCUGAGAGGACGACCAGCCACACUGGAACUGAGACACGGUCCAGACUCCUACGGGAGGCAGCAGUGGGGAAUUUUGGACAAUGGACGCAAGUCUGAUCCAGCCAUUCCGCGUGCAGGAUGAAGGCCCUCGGGUUGUAAACUGCUUUUGUACGGAACGAAACGGUGAGCUCUAGUACAGUUUGCUAAUGACGGUACCGUAAGAAUAAGCACCGGCUAACUACGUGCCAGCAGCCGCGGUAAA
rnacentral:rRNA from 1 species